GAACAGUGUUACCGAUCUUUACAGUACCCAUUGUUGCUCCUAUAUGCCUGUUAGGGGCGGGCACGCCGCCCCACGAACACGCGCGCCACCCUUUAUCGCCACCAUGGCUUUUAUAGAUAAACCCUUGUUUCUUCUUCUUUUUCUCAUUCUAUCAUCAAUGCAUUUUGUUGUCUCUUUAGGAUUGACAGACGCCGAAAUCCUUCUUAAAUUCAAGGGUUCUCUAUCCAAUGCGUCGGCAUUAGUCAGUUGGAGUGACAACACCAAUCCAUGCACAGGGGACGUAUCAAAUUGGAAUGGUGUUAUUUGUCUUAAAAGUUCCGUUAGGGGUUU
rnacentral:misc_RNA from 1 species